rnacentral:lncRNA from 1 species
AACUAUUUUGCAAAGUCUUCCGGUACACAAAAUUAAAAAUUAAAAAAUGUUAAAAAUUUGACGACCGAAACUUUUUUACAAAGUCUUCUGAAACAAAAAUAAAAGCUAAAAAAUAUUUAAAAAAUAAAAAAUAAAAUUAGUUAAGAAUAUACAAGGGAGAAGUUGAUAUUUUUUUAUAAAAUGUAUGGGUAAAUUUUUUUCCAUUAUAUAUAUUUUGUAAAAUGAUUCAUACAUGAAACACAAAAGAGGAUUUAACUUAUC